AUGCAAGUCGAGUGCGCGUUUCCGUAGCAAUACGGAGAUGGCGCACGGCGCACGGGUGCGUAACACGUGGGUAAUCUGCCCUCUGAUGGGGAAUAACCCCGCGGAAGCGGGGCUAAUACCGCAUAACAUUCCUUGGACUCCGGUUCGAGGACUCAAAGGCGUAAGUCGUCGGAGGUGGAGCCCGCGCACGAUUAGCUAGUUGGUAGGGUAAUGGCCUACCAAGGCUUUGAUCGUUAGCUGGUCUGAGAGGAUGGCCAGCCACACUGGAACUGAGACACGGUCCAGACUCCUACGGGAGGCAGCAGUGGGGAAUCUUGCACAAUGGGCGAAAGCCUGAUGCAGCGACGCCGCGUGGGGGAUGAAGCUUCUCGGAGUGUAAACCCCUUUCGACCGGGACGAAUACCUCGCAAGAGGGGUGACGGUACCGGUAUAAGAAGCCCCGGCUAACUACGUGCCAGCAGCCGCGGUAAGACGUAGGGGGCCAGCGUUGCUCGGAAUUACUGGGUGUAAAGGGUUCGUAGGCGGUGUGGCAAGUCGGGAGUGAAAUCUCUGGGCUCAACUCAGGGGCUGCUUCCGAAACUGCCGUGCUAGAGUGUGGGAGAGGCGCGUGGAAUUGCAGGUGUAGCGGUG
rnacentral:rRNA from 1 species